GCAUCCAGGCACGUGAGGGCCACCCCCUUCUGCUUCACUUUGUUCUGUGAAAGACGUCACGAGGACUGACUUCUAAGACGACUGGUGUAUUUUUACCUGUUGUAACUGCAUCCUCUCUGGUUUUCCUGGAAGAAGAGAGAGAUCUCAGGGCCUUGGAGCCGGCCAGCAGAGUGAGUUGCCCAGUUAACCACAGUGAUUCUCUGACAAGAGAGAAGAUGGACAGACACACCUAGAUUCUGAUCCUCUCUUAGCUGGUAAGACGCUGAUCUCCCGAAACAAAGUCUAUUCGUCUCGUGAAUAUUA
rnacentral:lncRNA from 1 species